GGAAGGGGAAGUCCUGAACACAGUGGUGAGACAAACUGCUGGUCAUCUUCAGCAUGAUGAAAAUACAUGUGUACACUUGUCUUCUCUCUGUCUUAACUUUGGUGGAGAUGAAGACUAUCAACACAAACGGACGUGUUGGGUCAAAUCUGAUCAUCAAAUGCUCACACUGGAACCUUUGGGGUUACGAGAAAGAAAAUGUUAAGUACUUCUGUGGAAGUCCCUGCAACGACAAAGACGUCAUUGUAAAAGCAGAAUAUAGAAAGACCAGACGUAAAAAUCAGAUUGAGUUAACCAACAGUGGAAACUAUUUAUUUGUGACCUUCUUAAAUCUCCAAAAGUCAGACUCUGGGAAAUAUUACUGUGGGCUGGAGAGAUUUGGCCGUGAUCCAUUGAUAGAGGUGAAUGUUGAAGUCAAGGAUGCUGAACCUUCUAGUCCUCUGAAGACUCCAAACCCAGUCUUUGUUACUGAUACAACCAGUCCGUCUACAUCUACAAAUGUCCCUACUGUUUUUACUGACAUGUCUUAUCUGACCACAUCAUCUGCAUCCGCAACACAAGGAGCUGGGAGUGCUUUCUAUUGGACCGUGGGAUCAAUUGGUGUGAUCAGCCUGCUGAUAGUUGUACUGAUCCUUACCAAGAGGAUGAUGAUGAAACAACAAGAGGAUGUUACCACGCCUCAAGAACCUGCUAGAAAGAGUGGAGACCCUGAUGGAGUCUAUCAAUCCCUCAAUCCAUUGACAGCAGAUACAGACCAGAUCUACAGCACUAUUGGAUCAACUAACUGACGAGCAGGAAGGUGCUGGAUUUUGUUUGUUUUCUGCCGAAGUCGCACUUCUUCCUGACCGCUGUGUGUCUCUGCUCUACCCUCUGUCACAUUGACCACACUGCUAACACUCGUCAUUCACAGAGAGGAAGCAAAGCAGAGAGCUGAGAUGUCAUCUGAGGCCUACACUACCACAACUGCACUUGACAAAGGGGGUCGUGCUAAGAGGUCCCACGAAGCUGGUUAUCGUGAUGAAGAGUUGACCAAGACUUACCCUGAGUGUUCACAUGAACGAGGGGGAGUAAUAUGACCUAUCA